UGACCCCAGAUCAGGCGAGAAUACCUGCUGAGUUUAAGCAUAUAAUUAAGCAGAGGAAAAGAAACUUACAAGGACUCCCCUAGUAACGACGAGAAAACCGAGAAGAGCCCAACAUGAAAAUCGGGUGGCAUCACUUCCUGAAUUGUAGUCUGUAUAAGCGUCCUUAGCAACAGACUAGGCCCAAGUCCCUUGGAAGGGGGCACGUAAGAGGGUGACAACCACGUCGGGUUGGGACCCUGCUGCACCACAAGGCAUUGUUGGUGAGUUGGGUUGUUUAGGAAUGCAACCCUAAUCAGGUGGUAAAUUCCGUCCAAGGCUAAAUACGGGCGAGAGAUCGAUAACGAACAAGUACCGUGAGGGAAAUAUGAAAAGGACUUUGAAUAUAGAGGUAAAGAGUGCUUGAAAUUGCUGGGAGGGAAGCGGAUGGAGGCCGACGAUGCAUCUCGGUUGGAUGCAAAAUGAAUCAAGCUGGUCCACCGCUCAACUUGAGGUGUGAACCAACACAGGCCAUUGCAUCGGUACAAGCGCGGGUGGAGUACUGCCUGUUGGUUUUCCAUUGUGGCGGUUGAGGAGCGGAGAAAUCAAGGGAUUCCACCAACACUCAUUUAAAUUUAUUUUUAAUCGCUUGCCAAUACUUCUUUUAGUUUUUUGAUAUUGAGAUGUCACAUGAGGUGGUUUAUAUCUAUGAGGAUUUAGGACCAAUUUUUCAAGCCUGAAUUUGAUGUGUAAAUAUUUAUGAAGGUAUUGGAUCCCUUAAUGACUCCUCAGUACUGUUGACAAGUUGAAUAAGUUUUGAAAUCACCAAGCAACCAUGCAGGAAACUCAAUGUUGCAUAGAAUAAGAGUUUAAUUUUAUUAUGAGUUUAAAAGUUAGUAAUUGAACCUUCAUCAUUGAAGUAAGAAAAGAAAGGUGUCAGUUUUUUUGUAUAUUUGGAUAAUUUAGCCAAGAAAGGGAAACUUUCUAAGUUGGGAGGCGAGUGAGUCUCCAAACCUAGUGACUAAACCUUAUUGAGACUUAACGUAUAUGAUUUACCCCCAAAAAUAAAAAUCACUUAUUCAGUGAGUUUACUCAUUGUCCAAACCAACCGAUUGAGGUUAUUGACCCUUGCACUCAACAAAUUUCCUCCUUGGGGUAAAUCACUCACUUGUCCUUAUUUGUCCUUAUGACCUCUC
rnacentral:ncRNA from 1 species